rnacentral:lncRNA from 1 species
UUGGUGAAGGUUAGCUUGGUCGAAAUCCUUCUCUUCUCUGCUGCUGUGGAUUUUGGACUGAAUUGAGAAAUUUUGUUGUUUAGAUUGGCGUUAGCUCGUCCACCGGACUUGGAGGUCCCUAGUUGAUCCAGCAGAGGUUGUCCUGGUUCGAGGCUUCGUUCGCUGCCAGGGGAUAGCUUUCGAGGUGGGUUACAUCGGCUUUACUCCUAAGUUCUUAUUGGUCGACAUGUAUAGAUCUUGAUUUCGGUAAUUAAGGUUAGCUCAAAUUCAUGGACUAUAUGUAGAUUGUGAAAUCCGAAUUUUGGAGCAUGUUUUAUAAAGUAAAUAGAUUAUACAUGUUGGACUUGGAAAUUGAAUUAGGAGAAAACCUGCGAUUUGGACCUGUCACCAGUUUUAACUACCUGAUUUAGCUCUAGGAGCCGUUGGAAAAUUGUACUGUCGCAGUUUCUUCGAGACGAGUACCCCAGGUAGUUUAGAAUGUAUUUACACUCGUGCUGGUUCGCCGAGUGGAUUUUUACAGGGUCGUUCAGGUCGUUUCGGACUGUUGGGUGCCGUCAGAGUUGACGGUGGACCCGUAUCGCCUUUUUGGCGUCAGAUUGUGCCGAGGGCACGUUACCUAUUGGUUGUUAGAUCAGUUUGAGUCGAUUACUUGACUAUGGCUAGUUGGAGCCUGAUUGAGCUCGACAGAGAUACGCUGCAUACUCGGUUGGGUAGCGCCCACGAGUGCCACUCCGGAGUCAGGCUUGUGCUUUUGCGUUGGUGUCGCUCAUGCCAGUUGGACUUGCUCUCCACGGACCAGUUAGUGUGGAUAGAGCCCGAUAGUCGCAACGGGGCAAGGACGGGUGUAUUCACAGUCCCGGGGACGGGUAUGCUUACAGUCCCGAUUGGAUUGGGUCAGAUUUGACAUUUCCUACAGUUGGUUAGUGUAGAGCAUGAUAGUGUAGUGGAUGAUAGCGGUAGAGUAUGCUUUCUGCUUUUCUUCUAUCCUUGCUCCCUUCUGUAGACUUAGUGGGUGACCGAUGUUGUUUUGGGC